rnacentral:tRNA from 1 species
CAAAUUAGAGCUGGUAGCAUUUUAUUUACAUUAAAAAGGUAGUUGUUUAAUCAAUUUAAUUUGA